GCAAGAUUAAAACUCAAAGGAAUAGACGGGGACCCGCACAAGUGGUGGAGCAUGUGGUUUAAUUCGAAGAUACGCGAAGAACCUUACCUAGCCUUGACAUAUUUUAGAACUCACCAGAGAUGGAGAGGUGCCUUCGGGAGCUAAUUUACAGGUGCUGCACGGCUGUCGUCAGCUCGUGUCGUGAGAUGUUGGGUUAAGUCCCGCAACGAGCGCAACCCUCGUCACUAGUUACUAACGGUUCGGCCGAGGACUCUAGUGAGACUGCCUUCGUAAGGAGGAGGAAGGUGAGGACGACGUCAAGUCAUCAUGGCCCUUACGGCUAGGGCAACACGCGUGCUACAAUGGUUGGGACAGUGAGACGCGAUACCGUGAGGUGGAGCAAAUCUAUAAACCCAAUCUCAGUUCGGAUUGUAGUCUGCAACUCGACUACAUGAAGCUGGAAUCACUAGUAAUCGUAGAUCAGCUAUGCUACGGUGAAUACGUUCCCGGGUCUUGUGCUCACCGCCCGUCACACCAUGGGAGUUGAUUUCACCCGAAGCGGGGAAGCUAAACUGGCUACCCUCCACGGUGGAAUUAGCGACUGGGGUGAAGUCGUAACAAGGUA
rnacentral:rRNA from 1 species